rnacentral:rRNA from 1 species
GACGAACGCUGGCGGCGUGCCUAACACAUGCAAGUCGAGCGAUGAAGCCCUUCGGGGUGGAUUAGCGGCGGACGGGUGAGUAACACGUGGGUAACCUGCCUCAAAGUGGGGGAUAGCCUUCCGAAAGGGAGAUUAAUACCGCAUAACAUCAAAGCUUUGCAUAAAGCUUUGAUCAAAGGAGUAAUCCGCUAUGAGAUGGGCCCGCGGCGCAUUAGCUAGUUGGUGAGGUAAUGGCUCACCAAGGCGACGAUGGUUAGCUGGUCUGAGAGGAUGACCAGCCACACUGGAACUGAGACACGGUCCAGACUCCUACGGGAGGCAG